GACGAACGCUGGCGGCGUGCUUAACACAUGCAAGUCGAACGAAGAGCGAUGGAAGCUUGCUUCUAUCAAUCUUAGUGGCGCACGGGUGAGUAACGCGUAAUCAACCUGCCCUUCAGAGGGGGACAACAGUUGGAAACGACUGCUAAUACCGCAUACGAUCUAAUCUCGGCAUCGAGGAUAGAUGAAAGGUGGCCUCUACAUGUAAGCUAUCACUGAAGGAGGGGAUUGCGUCUGAUUAGCUAGUUGGAGGGGUAACGGCCCACCAAGGCGAUGAUCAGUAGCCGGUCUGAGAGGAUGAACGGCCACAUUGGGACUGAGACACGGCCCAGACUCCUACGGGAGGCAGCAGUGGGGAAUCUUCCGCAAUGGACGAAAGUCUGACGGAGCAACGCCGCGGGAGGGAUGACGGCCUUCGGGUUGUAAAGCUCUGUUAAUCGGGACGAAAGGCCUUCUUGCGAAUAGUGAGAAGGAUUGACGGUACCGGAAUAGAAAGCCACGGCUAACUACGUG
rnacentral:rRNA from 1 species